GCCCAGGCGACUGUUUAGCAAAAACACAGGUCUCUGCAAAACCGUAAGGUGACGUAUAGGGGCUGACGCCUGCCCGGUGCUGGAAGGUUAAGAGGAGUGCUUAGCUUCGGCGAAGGUACGAAUUGAAGCCCCAGUAAACGGCGGCCGUAACUAUAACGGUCCUAAGGUAGCGAAAUUCCUUGUCGGGUAAGUUCCGACCCGCACGAAAGGCGCAACGAUCUGGGCACUGUCUCAACGAGAGACUCGGUGAAAUUAUAGUACCUGUGAAGAUGCAGGUUACCCGCGACAGGACGGAAAGACCCCGUGGAGCUUUACUGCAACCUGAUAUGGAAUGUUUGUACCGCUUGUACAGGAUAGGUAGGAGCCGAAGAGACGUGUGCGCUAGCAUACGAGGAGGCAAUGGUGGGAUACUACCCUGGCUGUAUGACCAUUCUAACCCGCCACGCUUAGCGCGUGGGGAGACAGUGUCAGGUGGGCAGUUUGACUGGGGCGGUCGCC
rnacentral:rRNA from 1 species